UACGGAGGGGGCUAGCGUUGCUCGGAAUCAUUGGGCGUAAAGGGUGCGUAGGUGGCGCUGUAAGUCGGGUGUGAAAUUUCGGAGCUUAACUCCGAAACUGCAUUCGAUACUGCGGUGCUUGAGGACUGGAGAGGAGACUGGAAUUCAUGGUGUAGCAGUGAAAUGCGUAGAGAUCAUGAGGAAGACCAGUGGCGAAGGCGGGUCUCUGGACAGUUCCUGACACUGAGGCACGAAGGCCAGGGGAGCAAACAGG
rnacentral:rRNA from 1 species